rnacentral:lncRNA from 1 species
UUAAAGUUUAGGUCAAGUAUAAUUAAGUCUAUUUACAAGUUUGAUUAAGAAAAGAAGUUUGAAAAUGCAAUGGCAUAAGGCCAAAUUUUCUAGUUUGCAAAGUGGUCAAAGUUUAGAAUAAAACUAGUUCAAGCAAAGCAGAAUUUUUAAAAGGAGGGAGAUAUUUUGAAAUUAAAGAAGUGGGGAGGAGAUGAAGAGACUAAUCCUAAGCACAAAAUUAAAAGUUAAGAGUUGAAAAGAUC